UGGCAGCAGUCGAGAAUAUUGGUCAAUGAGGGAAACCUUGAACCAGCGACGCCGCGUGCAGGAAGACAGCCUUCGGGUUGUAAACUGCUUUUAUAGAGGAAGAACCUUCGGGUGACGGUACUCUAUGAAUAAGGGGAUGCAAAUUUCGUGCCAGCAGCCGCGGUAAUACGUAAGUGGCAAGCGUUGUCCGGAAUCACUGGGUGUAAAGCGCAUGUAGGCGGUUCUGUAAGUCUGGGGUGAAAUCCACGGGCCUAACCCGUGAACGGCCCUGGAAACUGCAGGACUUGAGGUUCAGAGGGGAAAGUGGAAUUUCGGGUGUAGCGGUGAAAUGCGUAGAUAUCCGAGAGAACACCAAUGGCGAAGGCAGCUUUCUGGCUGGAUCCUGACGCUGAGAUGCGAAAGCUAGGGUAGCGAACGGGAUUAGAUACCCCAGUAGUC
rnacentral:rRNA from 1 species